AUCUAGUCCAAUCACUCUUGUGGGCCAGUUGGGAUGUGUAAGUAUCUGGUUUUAGUACGCCUUACCCCUCCCAACUGGCCCACACGAGUGAUUGGACUAGACCAA
rnacentral:pre_miRNA from 1 species